CAACCCUCAAGCACAGCUUGGUGUUGGGAUUCGCGGGGUAACCCGCGGUCCCCAAAUCGAUUGGCGGUCACGUCGAGCUUCCAUAGCGUAGUAAUUUAUUCUCGUUACUGGUAAUCGUCGCGGCCACGCCGUUAAACCCCAACUUCUGAA
rnacentral:misc_RNA from 1 species